UCGNCACAGUAUACCAGUAGAAAAGGUUAUUGUUGUUGUGGCUGUUAAUUUGGUCCCCAUAAAGGACUUGAGGGUUGCGAGCAACCGUUUUGCCGUAUUCAGGGUGCUGUGCAGCAAAAUAAUGUGGUGAAAAAUUUUAACAUCGGUUAAAUGGCGAGAGCAAUAUUGAUCAACAGUGAACGCGCUCGGAGCGAAUUUUGGAACACUUCCUAAAAUAUUUACAGAAGCAGCAAAUGCAACUCUGGGAUGUAGCUGAAUAUCAAAUAAUUAGGCAAAUUUGUGCGCGCAUAGUGUUUUUUCCGGAAAAUUUUCGUAGUUUUCGUAAAAUAUUGAGUUUUGUGAAAUAAUAUAUAUGUAAAUCUUGCAUUAGCGAAAUACUGACUUUCUUUUUAAAUAAGAUUUAGACAUUUUGUAUUUGCAAUACACGUGAGUCGUGUGCUAGCAGAGGUUUUACAAAUAUCGGCCUCGUGGAGAUUUGGAAGUUUCUGGCCAAACAACAAACAACCAACAAAAAAAAUGCCGAAAAGAUGUGUAUGCAGAUGUGCAGAAGUAAGCUCCCUCUACAAGUUUCCUUUGGCCUCGGAUGUAUCAAGGCUUAUUGACCAAGAAUGAUACGGGAAGUAAAUGAUCGAAAAUUUUCACAUCAAACCGGUUUCGUGGACUUAUAUUUAAUUAAUAAUUUUAACAUCGCGCCUUUAUUGUAUUUUUAAUAGCUUUAACCUUUUAAUAAGAUAGCUAAGAUGGUACGUGCUGUUAAUUCCUCUUUGUAUCUAAUUAAUUUUAAUUAGUAUGCGUGGAGUUAAAUUUAGUGUAAAAGCAGCAAAAUAUAUUAUUAUGUACUUCGGUUUUCAGCUGCUUACUAGUAAUAAGUCGUAGAUUUAAGUUUUUUUUAAGUUACAGUGUUUAAUUAUAAAAUCGGUAUUUUCAUAUACAUGCAUGUAUGCAUGUACUUAGGUUUUCAGCUACCUUCUAGUAAUUAGGCUUAUGGCCUUAUUCAUAAAAAAAUAAAGUAGGUUUAAAGAGUUUUAUAAAUUGACGUUUUCAUAUA